rnacentral:rRNA from 1 species
CUGAUGCAGCCAUGCCGCGUGUAUGAAGAAGGCCUUCGGGUUGUAAAGUACUUUCAGUUGUGAGGAAGGGUGUGUAGUUAAUAGCUGCGCAUCUUGACGUUAGCAACAGAAGAAGCACCGGCUAACUCCGUGCCAGCAGCCGCGGUAAUACGGAGGGUGCGAGCGUUAAUCGGAAUUACUGGGCGUAAAGCGCAUGCAGGUGGUUCAUUAAGUCAGAUGUGAAAGCCCGGGGCUCAACCUCGGAACUGCAUUUGAAACUGGUGAACUAGAGUGCUGUAGAGGGGGGUAGAAUUUCAGGUGUAGCGGUGAAAUGCGUAGAGAUCUGAAGGAAUACCAGUGGCGAAGGCGGCCCCCUGGACAGACACUGACACUCAGAUGCGAAAGCGUGGGGAGCAAACAGGAUUAGAUACCCUGGUAGUCCACGCCGUAAACGAUGUCUACUUGGAGGUUGUGGCCUUGAGCCGUGGCUUUCGGAGCUAACGCGUUAAGUAGACCGCCUGGGGAGUACGGUCGCAAGAUUAAAACUCAAAUGAAUUGACGGGGGCCCGCACAAGCGGUGGAGCAUGG